UCUCAUUCUCACGCACGCCUGCUCUCACUUUCGCUAUUCCCGUGCCCUAGACGAGCCGACGACAUCCAACUCUCAGUUUCGCCAUUCCCGUGCCCUACCUCUUUAGCGACGUCCUCCAACUGCAAUCGACGAAGCAGCAACGGCCUCUCUCGCGUGUUGAUAUGAGUUUCUUCCCUCACAAUUCUUCAGAACAUCCCGCAAACUCGCCUCUGUCGGCUUCUCCCUCUCAGAUAUGCAUUUUGGUGGGUUACACUUGGGGUUGCGUCAUCAAUUGGACUUGUUAUUGAAACGGGAAAUCUUGAUGCUUAGACUUAUUUAGCAUUCAACUUUGGUUGUUGUGGAUUCUGAUAAGCAAAUGCAGCUUGCUAAAAGAUUGAUUGUGAAUGUUGCUGAUAGCCUGAUACAACUGAAGUUGAUGAGAUGCUGUUAAGGAUCAGUAUCCAUCUUUUGAACAGCGGUUAACCUUUGCAUCCACCAUGGAUCUGCUCCACUUUUUCCUUCCUCUACUUGUUUUAUAUAUCCAUACUUAAAACUCAGAUUUUUCAUUUCCAGCUGCUAUAGUCGGGUAGUAUUCACGUUUUUGCUCUAUCAAAUUUAAUUUACAGAUGUAAUGUAACUAAUAUCGAAUACAUGACUUAUCCAAGCAACUAUGAUUUUGUUUGUCUUGCGUUCAGUUGUUCUUUGCACUCAUGUUCCUAUGUUUGGAACCUCAUCCUUACACUUUAUGUCAAGCUGCUGAAUUUUUUACUGUGCUAAAUUUUUAUUUGGGAUCUUUCUUAUGCUGGCUGGAACUUAGAGAAGGAAGUGUAUUUACAAAUGUUGUCUUGUUGGAUUUUGAUUAAGCAGAUUGACAUAGACUCUUUUAAGGCUUUUAUGAUCUGAAAACUUGUCUUUUUCGCUGUUGUUAACUUUAACUUGUAGAUCUAGGUUAAUUUGAGCAUUCACUUGUUUAAUUUGAAUAAAAUAAAAACCAUACAAGUUCUCUGUUGUUGAAAUUUCCAAACUGCCGACCAGCUUUUCUUUUUUAAUAUGCUAUAAUAGGGUCUGGCUUGCAUACAUUUGUUCUGUAUUUGGGACCUCAUAUUGCUUUUUUCACCAUAAAAGCAAUGUAGUGUGGACGAGUUGAUUUUAAAUCUGCUCCAUUUGAUACCAUACAAUUCAAUAAAAGACCUUCAUGGCUUGAAAAUGACUGCUCGAUCUAUGGCCCUCCCAAGUUUUCAUCAUUACCCGGUUCACUGGUUUGGGUAUUCCAUUUAGAUUCUUAUUAAAUUUUUUGGUGUGUCAAUCAAUAAUUCCAUGCCUUUUUUUCACAAAUGGUUGCCUUACCUUUCUUUAAAGAGUUUGAUGGAUGUCAAUUUAGUUUUUAUACUUUUGGCUUUGCCAAUCUAAACAGCUCUUUGCCAUAGCUAUGCAAAGGAUUCUAGCUUCUGGUCGAUGCAGGGAAGGGAAGAUUACAGUGAAGAGCCAAUGAUUCUAGCCUUCCGUCAUUUCAUCUCAUUGGACCAUCAAGGAGCCGCUAUAAAGGAGGAGAUGAACUCGCUUCCUUGAGAACUCAAUUGGUUUUUGAAUUCUUGCAUCAUGUUGUCAAGCAGUAGGCAAGUUUCGUACAUUUUUUCCCUGAAUUAUCUCAUAAUUAUUGAAAUAUUAUGGUAAUCUUGUUUAUAAAUUUUUUAUGUAGGGGUUGCCUGCUUGUACUCCAAGUUGAAGCUCUUUGCAUUCGAAAUGUGUUUUGAUGGAUAUGGAGCUGGAUCCCACACUUUAGCAGUACAAGAUAUUGAUUGGCGUUAGCAUGAUUAUAGAUUGAUGUUGUCAUUUAUUUUUGAUAUAGUUUAUGAGGGAAGAAAUAAUAAUUUUGUAAUUUUAUAUUUAUUUACAUAAAAGUUAAUAAAAGAUUUUUAUGUUAA